AGCAGCCGCGGUGAUUCCAGCUCCAAUAGCGUAUAUUAAAGUUGUUGCAGUUAAAAAGCUCGUAGUUGAAUUUCGGGAUCAAUAUGUUGGUCGUGCCUUGGUACGUACUGGCGUCAUUGGUUUCUACCUUCUGAAGAACCUCGAUGUCGUUAAUUUGGUGUCUUGGGGAAUCAGGACUGUUACUUUGAAAAAAAUUAGAGUGUUUAAAGCAAGCUCACGCUUGAAUACAUUAGCAUGGAAUAAUGAAAUAGGACGUUUGAUUCUAUUUUGUUGGUUUCUAGGAUCGACGUAAUGAUUAAUAGGGAUAGUUGGGGGCAUUAGUAUUCAAUUGUCAGAGGUGAAAUUCUUGGAUUUAUUGAAGACUAACUACUGCGAAAGCAUUUGCCAAGGAUGUUUUCAUUAAUCAAGAACGAAAGUUAGGGGAUCGAAGACGAUCAGAUACCGUCGUAGUCUUAACCAUAAACUAAUGCCGACUAGGGAUCGGAUGAUGUUUAAUUUUUUAAAUGACUCAUUCGGCGCC
rnacentral:rRNA from 1 species